rnacentral:tRNA from 1 species
GGCUGGGUGGCUCAGUUGGUAAGAGCAACCAAAUGGUUGCGGGUUUGAUUCCUGGUCAGGGCACUUACUUAGGUUGUGGGUUCAAUCCCCAGUCUGGCCG